GGAGCAACGCCGCGUGAGUGAGGAAGGGUUUCGGCUCGUAAAGCUCUGUUGGUAGUGAAGAAAGAUAGAGGUAGUAACUGGCCUUUAUUUGACGGUAAUUACUUAGAAAGUCACGGCUAACUACGUGCCAGCAGCCGCGGUAAUACGUAGGUGGCAAGCGUUGUCCGGAUUUAUUGGGCGUAAAGCGAGUGCAGGCGGUUCAAUAAGUCUGAUGUGAAAGCCUUCGGCUCAACCGGAGAAUUGCGUCAGAAACUGUUGAACUUGAGUGCAGAAGAGGAGAGUGGAACUCCAUGUGUAGCGGUGGAAUGCGUAGAUAUAUGGAAGAACACCAGUGGCGAAGGCGGCUCUCUGGUCUGCAACUGACGCUGAGGCUCGAAAGCAUGGGUAGCGAACAGGAUUAGAUACCCUGGUAGUCCAUGCCGUAAACGAUGAGUGCUAAGUGUUGGGAGGUUUCCGCCUCUCAGUGCUGCAGCUAACGCAUUAAGCACUCCGCCUGGGGAGUACGACCGCAAGGUUGAAACUCAAAGGAAUUGACGGGGGCCCGCACAAGCGGUGGAGCAUGUGGUUUAAUC
rnacentral:rRNA from 1 species